CUAGCUUCCUUAUCUGCCUAGGCUCAGAUUUGGCACCCUGGGACUUGAAAGGCUGAGAGAGCAACUGAUGGUCCAUCCAGAUGUCCUUAAAGGCUUCCAGCUGUGGACCACAGGACAUUGUUUCUUCCUAGGUGCCAGUCCCGACUUCCACCUGCACGAAGGUGUGAGGCCCUGCUUGGAUGGGAAUGAAAGAGGCUACACUGGAAACCAAAAUUGGGAAGGCAGAGGAUCCCGUGAGAGUGACAGACCAGACUGGAAGGAUCCCAGGAGAAUGCAAGAAGACCCAGAAGAGCCACUCAUUCAUUAUUCCGACACCUACCCCCUGAGAGUGUCGUUGGCAGCAGGCCCUGUGGAGGCCAUGAGGGACGACGUAGGCCCGGGCCCUCCAACAGCCGAGGGCCUCGCAGCAGGUGCAGAUGGAUGAGGACGGUGCCACCCAGGAAGUGGGCACAGGGGCAGCCUCGGAGAAGAGGUGUUGCCCGUAUCUACUCUAGCGUCCCUCUAGCUGACAUUCCUAGUGGUCCUCCUGCUUCCUGAGCAACGAGUUGGGCAGCUUCCACUCGCCCUCCUCCGUAAAGCCAUCCUGGCUUCCACGCGGCCUCCCGUAAGGUGAUGUCCUGAGCACCUUCCUGUCCAGCCCUUGAAGCAAUGCUGUGCAAAGAGGACUAGCGUCACCACAGUUCAGAGAUGACACACUGGGACUCAGAGAAGUCAGUGAACAGCGGCAGGAUGCGUCUGAGUUCAGCUCCGAGUCCAGGGUUCAAGUUCCUUCCACGACACUAAUUUGCCUCUUCCCCAGGCCUUCCUUCUCCCCUGGGCCCCCUCAGCCCUUCCCGGAGCAAUUGUCACUUGGUUCUUUAUUAUUUGUUUACAGAACCGUCGUCUCCACCAGUGGAGAAAACAGCCUUUGGGAGCUGGACCGGAUCUGAUCGCUGUAGGCGACCAGGGGCCCAGCGCAGGUCUGGUCUGGGACGGAACAGGAAUUGGUGAACAUGUGCUGCGACGAAGCCGAUGACAAGCAUGGCACAGCAGUCUCCCGCCUCACUCGGGCCGUGUGCUGGGACCUUGACCCCUCUCUCUGGAUUCUACCCUGGCGGCAUGACCCCACCCUGCUGGCCGGGGUCUCUCCCUUCCUCCUCUCUUCCUGGUUCCAGGGACUUGGGGGCCAACAGGAUGUAACAGGGCAGGAUGUGUGGUGGCCACAGAGUCCAGCCAAGCGGGCCAACCCGGGAGGUGAGGCCGUGAGCUCCUGACUCACGCUGAGGUGAGCACGGAGGCCAGGGCAGGGAGACACGCCUGACAAGAAGUCACAGCUCAUAAACCCAGUGAAACCCAGGAAAGCUUUGGAAACGAGCUUAAAGAAUUUAGGGUUGAGAAAAGGCCUCAGAGAAUCCGUCCAAAAAAGCAGGAGGCGGAUCUAGCUGAUUCCUCAGACGUGGACCCGGCUGUUGUUGGCGUCUAAGUGGCUGCUUCUCCUCCCUGCCAGAGCCCGGCUACACAGGGCCCAUUUGCUUGGGUCCCAGCAGCCUCUGGGCUGUGGGAGCCUGGGAAGGAACUCACCCAGGGGAGCCACUGACAGAUCGUCGGGGGCCCGACUUUGGGUGGGAGCUUGGUUCCCCGGGUAGACCAGACAGCGGCUGGGGAGGACUAGCCCCCGUGAUGGAUGCUCUGAGACCUCAUCGACUUGCCUCUGCUCUAUCUCCACUGCUCACUCUCCAGCUUCAGGCCCACCUCCUUGCUCUCCCCUGGGUCACUGGCCAGGGUGCAGGGGGCAGAGGGGCUGGCAGACUCGGGAGGGGGGGAUGGGGAGGCUCAAGCCACCGGUUCAUGAGUCAGCUCAGCUGUGGCUCCCCCAUCGGCUGGACUUGACACAGCGCUCAGAGGCUGGAGCUGCGGAGGAGAGCACAGGCCUUGGGGACCAGAGGACCUGGCCUCGAGCCCUGGGGCCUCCACUCACCGGCUCUGUGAUCUCGGGUAAGCUGCAUGACUUCUCAGAGCCUCAGUGUCACCCUAUGUGAAAUGGGAUAAUCGAAUCCCACCCCCCCCACCCCAUGCCCAACCCAUAGGUUUUUGAGAGGAUCAAAGGGGAAGAGGGCUUUCAAUCAAGUCGCUAUCAAAGGACAUUACCGCUGUUCUCACCACGCAGCGGGGUAGUGGCAAAGUCCAGCUCCAGCCCAGGUGUCCUGACUCCCAGACUUUUGUUCUUCCUCUUCCCUUUCUACUCGUUAUUGACCAAGCCUGGGUUCUAGCCUGGCCUGGAGGCCGAGGCAUAGACUCGAUGACCUCAGGUCUAUCAGCCCCUCUGGGCCGGCCCGAUUCAGCUCCAGGACUGGGGGCCUCUGAGAACUGAGCCAUUGCUAUGUUUCCCCGAUUCAGUGAGGGAGCAGCGAAUGUGGCUGAUAAAAGCGCACCUACCUGUGGAUCCCUUAGCAGAUCCACACAGGCUCUGGGCGUGUGAUGGAGAGGCUGCAGGCCUGAGCCUGGGCCUGGAGGCAUGUGCGAACUCCCUGGGGAGGUGGAACGCCCAUAUAAGAGAUAGGAACUAAAAAUAUAGGGCGGAGCAUCUGAGAUAACAGGCUUGGUUCUGUUCAUAACAGCAUCUCCAGGGCCUAAUGCACAUUGUCAGCAGUCAAUAAAUACCCGUCCCACGAAGGAAUAAAGAGAUGA
rnacentral:lncRNA from 1 species